AAAAAAUAAAAAAAAAUAUAAAAAAAUUAAAAUAAUAAAUAUAUUUUACUUACAGCAUUCAUAAUGUAGCUUGCAGGAUUUAUUUAUUCAAAUAUUUGUGUACAGGCAAUAACUUAGAGGAACAUACAUGUAGUUAUAAACAUAGACUAAAACAUCAAGCAUAUAUAUAAACCAACAUAUAACAGUAUCAAAUCAUAACAUAGGU
rnacentral:lncRNA from 1 species